rnacentral:lncRNA from 1 species
AGGCUCUGCUGGGUGUCUAUAAUACUCAUUUGCAGUAAGGCUUUCAAGAUACAUGAAUUUUUAUAGCAUUUGUAUUUUAAGGAUUUAGGGCAAAUACAUUUUUUUUUUCCUACUUGAUAAAAAGAAAAUUAGUACUUAAAAGGUUCAAAAAUAUAUCAAUUGAGUGAUGGAAUUGGUUUACAGAAUUUCUGAUUUAUAACUCUGAUUCAUUAAAACUGGGACUCCACUUUUUAAAAAUAAAGCUGUUUUUUUUUUUUUUCCCCACCCCGGCCAUGAUUUAACAGACUUCUUUGAGAUGCUCAUUUUAACAUUUACAUAAUUUAUAAUCCCAAAUGUAUAAAAGACAAUGACAAAAGCAUCAUAAAUAAAUAAUGCAAACUGAAAUAGUUAUGUCGAACUUUUGGACCUUCUGAUAAAUUAUAGCAAAACUGUUACAG